UCCCUGAUAGCUCAGUUGGUAAAGAAUCCACCUGUAAUGCGGGAGAUCUAGGUUCGAUCCCUGGGUUGGGAA
rnacentral:tRNA from 1 species